UCAGCAGUAGAAAGAAGUAGGCCUAAUUAUUUUAGGUGUAAUCUUCAAAGAUAUUAGGGGGAAAUAAACACUGCACCCAAAUCCACGUUUUACAAUGCUCCUGGGAAAUGGGUAGGCCUCCACCUAUAGUCCUUCACAGUUUUACAGCUGUGAUAUAUUUAUUUAUUUACAUAGAUCACAUACAUAAAUAAAUAUGUUAGCUGUAGGUAGCGUUGAGAUAAAAUUCCCAUAUUCUAUUGCUACUAACAUAAAUCCUAAUAUAUCAUGUUUUCCUCAUUUGCUCUGUAGGAGGUUCGUCAUAUGAAGGACAUUCAAGUGGAUGUGACCCCUAACCUGCAAUAGGGGCUCAGUGAGGUGACAGACAUCCUGUAAUGGAUCUCCAGCUAGUGUCUGAGGACCUGGAGAAGGCUGUGUCUACAGCUGUGGGGCAGGACAAGCAUGGGACAGACAUCCUGAACGACUCUGAUGUCAGAGCUCCCAUCAGCCCUCUACACCUCGCUGAACCUCCGAUGUUGAUGCUGGGCGGGAGCAAAAAUGGGCUCCCGAUUGAAAGACUCUGGUCUACUUUAGAGGUCUAGCACUGUAUUUCUGUUCAGGCGUACCACGGGUCUACUCUAGGACAUUGAUUAUAUUAAGAGUGAAUAUCUAUUCAGGCGUACCACAGUCACCACCAUGCUAUGGAGGUCCUGGUUCAGUCUCUGCUGGAUCUAGACGUGAGGGACAGCCAGGGGCGCACCCCUCUGGACCUGGCUGCCUUAAAAAGAUAUGUGGAGUGUGUUGACGUCCUCAUCAACCAGGAAGCCUCCAUCCUGGUUAAAGACUUCACUCUGAAGAGGACCCCCAUCCACGCUGCAGGUAGACAUAAGGAUAUCACAUAGAGCUUCUGUAAUUAAAACGUUUUCCUGACCAAGAUGGCCAUUUGUUUGGUCAUGUUGCUAGGAUGACAAUGUCCACUCUAGGGAUGUUACAUGGUAUCGUGUGAAAAUGCCCACUAGACACUGAUCUAAGGUCCUUUUUUGUCAUGUUCUCCACUAAUGAUUGAGGAUCUAGGGAGGGUAAGCUGAUCCUAGAUCAGUGCACAGGGGAGACUUCUAUCCAGAGCCAGGUACACAGCUAGCAGGUGACAGGCUUCGAUGGCCUCAGCCCCAAAAUUCAUUAUUAUCUGCUGUGUUAACAUCAUGAGGAUGUCAUCUACCAACACCACUGUUCUUGAAAUCUGUCUGUUCAUGUGAAGGUUAUAGUCAUCCAGCAAUCUGCUCAUAUCCUCUCUGUUUAUCCUCCUCUAGCUACCAAUAGUCAAUCAUCUGACAUUCUUAAAUCCUCUCUGUUUAUCCUCCUCUAGCUACCAAUGGUCAAUCAUCUCACAUUCUUAUAUCUUCUCAGUUUUUCCACCUCUAGCUACUGAAGGUCAAUCAUCUCACAUUCUUAUAUCCUCUCUGUUUAUCUUCCUCUAGCAACCAACGGUCAUUCGGAGUGUUUGCGUUUGCUGAUUGGAAAUGCUGACCUCCAGAGUGCAGCGGACAUUCAAGACGGGAAUAGUCACUUGGGUUUUGGAUACAAUUCCUGAAAUAAAGAGAUUUUGAAACUGGGGCUGCAUCCCAAAUGGCAACCUAUACCCUACUUGGUACAGUACUUUAAACCAAAGUCCUAUGGGCUCAGGUCAAGAGUAGUGUACCAUAUAGGGAAUAGGUUGCCAUUUGGGACUCAGCCUGGUUAUUACCAGUUUGUAAUAUGACCUGUUGUCUUGUGUAUCAGAACCCCUCUGACGCUGUCGGUGCUGAGCGGACACACAGACUGUGUGUACUCACUGUUUCAACAAGGGAGCCAGCGUAGAAGCCAAAGACAAAUGGCACAGAACAGCUCUACACAGAAGGGUUGCGAGGAGAGUUGGCUGUACGCGCUCACACACAGAAAGAGAGGGGGAGGCUUGUUCUGAUCUAGGGAUGGGGCCAUUGAACUACUAGGGAUGGCUUUGGUGUGGGAUCUAGCAUGGAAUAUGAAUUAUGCCCAAAUAUACCUAUUAUGAUUCCUUAUUAUUUAAUUGAUUAUAAAUUAUUCAAAUCCAUUCUUGCCUCCCCUCCCUUCCCUUCCUCCUAGGCGGUGACGGGUCACGAGGAGUGCAGCACAGCGCCAGCUUCCUGGUUCGGGAAGGUAAGGUGCGGAGCCAUGUCCACCUGGUGGCGUUGUCCGGACACAUCGGGGUGCUGGGGUGGCUCCUACACACCGCCCAGUCAGUGUGGACCCUCCCCGUCAUCACAGACAACCAGGGCUACACGCCACUACACUGGGCCUGCUACAACGGUACGUACUGGACAGAGGGACAGCGAAGUGGGCCAGAGGCCACAAACAAAUACACACAUAAACACAGCGUUGCUUAAAUCACCACAGCCAGCUUCGGGAGGGCAGGAACCAAGCCAUCCGCACAGGAACCUUAAGAGUCCCUCAGACAGUGAGAGAGAAGAGGGAGGGAUAGGGGGAAGCACAACAGGCCCACACUCAUCCUCUCGUACCACCAGGUUCCCUUCCAGCAGAUACUGGACUUCAGAGGAACUGCUGCUGCUAUACCCCAUCUUUACCUUUACCCACAAAGGUCCUAAACGGUAGAAACCUGCGUUUCGGCAUUUUCAAAACCUGUUUUGAGUAUAGAAAUUGGGCUGAGUGUUUGUGCUGAGAAAAGACAUAAGGAGUGAUGUUUCAUUUAAGUUUCAUGAGAGUGAUUGUCAUGUUUAUCCGCACACUAAGACAGUCAGAACUUACCUAGCCUCUUGUCUGUAAUCCAUGUGGGAGGAGGGGAAAUCAUACAUUUUGUAUGAACAAAUAUUUUUAUAAAAUCAUUCAUGUCUUAAGAAAAUUGUACCAUUAAAAAAUUGUACCAUUUGCUCUGAUGAGUAAUUGUAAAGAUUUAAUGCAUCCCAAAUGGAACCCUAUACUGAAUAGUACACUACUGUUGAACAGGGUCCAUAGGGUUCUGGUCAAAAGCAGUGCCAUUUAGGAUGCUGGUAUGUGAGCAACACGACUAUUUGAAGGGACCUAUUACAUUAUUAAACCUACCUGUCCUUUGGCCUCUAGAAAGUAUUUUAGAAAGUUAAUAAUUAAUUCAUGUUUUCUUUCUUGUGAUAUUUGUCAUUUUGUGCCUUUGUUAGUUACUGAGGGGAGGUUAGGAGAGUAGGGGCACCUGUAUGAGCGACAACAAUGAUGCACACUAAGUACUACAACGUUUGUGAAAAGCACUGAUACUAUCCAGAGGCAUGUGAGGUGGAAAACAUGUCUCCCUUGGAGAGGAGAAACAUUGUAAACCAAUGGUAGGACAGCAGCAUUUAGAUUUUCUUCUGUUGGAAAAUAAAUAUCGAUAUUAUUUGUCUUUGGUCUUAUAAUCAAUGUUUUUUAACAGGUGUUGCUUGCUUUAACUUCUUCAAAAAAUGAAACCACUCAAUCCUUGUAUGUGAUUGAAUGUUCAUAUCCCCGUUUUUGUCUCUUUUUGAAAAUCAUUUUAACUGGAAAUAUGUGCAAUACAUUUGCUAUGUUCACCAAAUCAGCAACAAGAGAGUCACAGGUUCACAGGUUUUUCGUGUCAUUAUCAUUCUUUUAAACGGAUGAAACUAGCAUGUACAUAUGAAAUGGUGACUGAAUUCGAAACUCCCAUGAAUUCUUUCAGUAUCUGAAGUUUGCUGUAUAUUUUAUGAGUAAUAAAUGUUAUUUAAUGAUGAA